rnacentral:rRNA from 1 species
CCUACGGGUGGCAGCAGUCGAGAAUCAUUCACAAUGGGGGAAACCCUGAUGGUGCGACGCCGCGUGGGGGAAUGAAGGUCUUCGGAUUGUACACCCCUGUCAUGUGGGAGCAAAUUAAAAAGAUAGUACCACAAGAGGAAGAGACGGCUAACUCUGUGCCAGCAGCCGCGGUAAUACAGAGGUCUCAAGCGUUGUUCGGAAUCACUGGGCGUAAAGCGUGCGUAGGCUGUUUCGUAAGUCGUGUGUGAAAGGCGCGGGCCCAACCUGCGGACGGCACAUGAUACUGCGAGACUAGAGUAAUGGAGGGGGAACCGGAAUUCUCGGUGUAGCAGUGAAAUGCGUAGAUAUCGAGAGGAACACUCGUGGCGAAGGCGGGUUCCUGGACAUUAACUGACGCUGAGGCACGAAGGCCAGGGGAGCGAAAGGGAUUAGAUACCCUUGUAGUC